rnacentral:rRNA from 1 species
UACAGAGGUGGCAAGCGUUGUUCGGAAUUACUGGGCGUAAAGGGCGCGUAGGCGGCCUUCUAAGUCGGACGUGAAAGCCCCGGGCUCAACCUGGGAACGGCGCGCGAAACGGGAGGGCUGGAGUUCGGGAGAGGAGAGUGGAAUUCCCAGUGUAGAGGUGAAAUUCGUAGAUAUUGGGAAGAACACCGGUGGCGAAGGCGGCUCUCUGGACCGAGACUGACGCUGAGGCGCGAAAGCGUGGGGAGCAAACAGGG